rnacentral:rRNA from 1 species
UUAGCAGUUAACAUAGAUAGACCAAACAAACCCCUUCCUAUCCGCCAGAGUACUACAAGUGAAAAACUUCAAACUCUAAGGACUUGACGGUGUCCCAUACCUACCUAGAGGAGCCUGUCCUAUAAUCGAUACCCCACGAUCAACCUCACCCCCCCUAGCCUCUCAGCCUAUAUACCGCCGUCGUCAGCCUACCUUGUGAAAGCUAAAAAGUUAGCACAACAGUCACCCACUAAUACGUCAGGUCAAGGUGUAGCCAAUGGGGAGGAUACGAGAUGGGCUACAUUUUCUGCCCGACAGAAAACAUUGCCUAAGGCCUAAUGAAAAUCAAGCCGACAGAUGGAUUUAGCAGUAAAUACGACAAGAGAUGUCUAAUUGAAACUAGCCCUGGGACGU